rnacentral:misc_RNA from 1 species
CAGGAUUGAUGAUCCUUCAUUUCCACCAUUGUUGUCACCACCACCUAUGAUCCCCUGCAUGAAAGUCUGACCAACCUGCUGAGCUGCACCUUCUACAAGUCCUUGUAUAGCAGCAUUCAUCAAAUUAUUCCCCAAACCACUGUUUGACCCUGGAGUCUGCAUAUACUGGUUUGGCCUCACUUGUCCUUGAAUCAUAGUAGGUUGCAGGAACUGUUGCUGCGG